GCAGCUGUUGAGGUAACAAAUGUAGUCAAGAGUAUCAAUGCGCAUUUGGACCUUUUUCUUUUGCAUUCAUUCUACUCACACCAGCACCCUCUUCAUGAAUAGCAUAUCAUUUUUAUGUCUUUAGUGUUAGAGAUUUUGCCAGCCAAACAGUCUAUUGAUGAUUAACUUUAGAAAAAAUGUUAAGUAGCUUUAUAUAUCAUUAUUCUCAAGUUUUUCUGCUCCAAAAAAAAAAAAGAUAGAAAAACUAAUUAUGAAAAUGACAGAUGUUGUUGGUUGUUACGCACUUGUGGCAAUUGGAUACAUAUUCUGAUGCAAAACUAUGCACUCCUUUAGCUAUGUAGUUCCCAGAUCCCAACCAAACAGCCUAUUGAUGAUUAACUUUAGAAAAAAUGUUAAGUAGCUUUAUAUAUCAUUAUCGUAAAGUUUUUCUGCCUCCAAAAAAGAUAGAAAAACUAAUUAUGAAAAUGACAGAUGGUGUUGGUUGUUACGCACUUGUGGCGAUUGGAUACAAAUUACAGUGCGCAACUAUGCAUUCCUUUAGCUAUGUAGUUUCCAGAUCUUAUUUCUGGGCACAUAAGUUUCAUUUUCUUUGUUGUACUAACUUCUUGCUUUAAACAGUGAGAUUUUUGUCUACCUACUGAUCGGAAGUAUAUUCUCCGCAGAUAUUACUGAUUUUCGUGAUUAGUUUUCGUUAGAAUAACCAUUACUUUCACUUAGAGAAGGAGAGCUAUACUUCAAUUAUUUUAGACAUUGAUUCUUUUGUUGUGCUCAUAGGAUUUUCUUGUACAAAGUUCAGAACUUAUUUCAGUAGCUCGUAAGUUAAUGCUUAUUGUCUUUUUUUUUUGUUUUAUGUUACAUAUUCUUUUGUGGACUUUGGAAAAAACUCAGUUUUGUUGACCUCUUUUUCUCCUUCAUAUUUGUGAUAAAUACCCUUCCAUAUCUAGAUUUAGCAAAAAAACAGCUGAGUUUUGGUCUUCAAAGUUUCUGCUAUUUUUUGCCCUUCCAAGUUGCCCAAGAAAUCGAAGGUGGUAUUUUAUCUAAGUUCUUAACUUUCCUGAGUAACUAUUAGUUGUCUCAAGUGGUUUAAGCACCUUGUGUUUGACGGAGCAUAUUAAAUGUCUUGAAAGGUGGAACUUCUUCAAAGGUUGAAUUACUGUCCGCACUACGUUCAACUCGAGAGGAAAACAAAUCCUUGAAUGAGGAAAACAAAUCCUUAAAUGAUCGCUUGUCUACCGUAGAAAAAGAGAUGAAAGAAAUUAUGAAAAUAAAAGAAUUCUUAGCUGCUCAACAAUCACAAGUCCCGCCUACGACAUCAACCGUUUCAACUGAAUGACCACUGUUUUUGUAGGCUGACCAGCUUAGUAACAAUAUACCCGCCUUUUUUUUUAUUUUUUUUUUUACCUAUUGAAGUUGAUAAUUUAAAGUACAUUGGGUGAUUCUUUUAUUGAACAUUGUCCAGUGGAAGGCUUCUUUGAAGAAUUUUAGCAUCCACUCUUUCAUUAGGUACCUCUUCUUCAAUGUAUACAGUGAGUAAAAUUUGAUGUACUUCCUCUACUGCUACUUCACAAAUGGUAUUUCCUGUUGUCUUUUAAGUCUUAAUGGUAUUGUGUAAUUGAAUGAUUAGAUUUUGGCAUGCUAUGCCAUUCAUCUCUUUCCUUUCAAUAUGGUUUCCUUAUUAGAUGUUUUCAGAAAUUCCUAUCAAUAGAUAAAAGAGCAAUUUUCUACCAGAUGGAAAAAAGCCUUAUUGCUGUUAACUCUUGUUGCUUUUUUAUGGGUUUCCAGUUUAACUUUUGUGGCCCUUAGCCUAAACAAAUGAUGGAAUUUAUCUUUAUCAAUAGUUAACUUAGUUGCAGAGAGGAAAUGGAACUUGUCAUAUGUGUUUCCAUUCUGCUCUUGUUGGAGGAAAUGGAUUCAUAGUCUCAAUUGGUUUGGUAUUCUCCUUGUUUUACAAUAGGCUUUAGUAGAAGAUUAAAAGAAUUAACAUCUACAGUGAAUGGAAUUUUUUUAGUUGGGAACAUAUAUUACAUGAAGAAUGGCAGCGAGCUCAUAUUAUAUGCGUGUAUUUAAUCUAUAAGGUACAGAGUUUGCUAGUUUAACUAUGAACAUUCGUGAAAGUUCCUUAUGUUUGUCCAUUAUGCUUGUCACAGUUAUUGUUUUAGUUGUGGUUCUUUAUAAUAUAUUUUGGGUUCUUGGUUAAUGCAUCACAACAAUUCUUCACUAAGUUGUUGACGACUUAACAUGAAUGAUGUAUCAUUGUAAAUUAGUCGGAAAUCUUUGUACAGUUAGUUAAAAGUUCAACCACCAUGUAUAUGAACACAUUUAUGGAAUACAUCAAAAGGUAGUAAGUUAGUUUACCUUAUGAUACACAUAUGAUAUGAUGUAUUUUUCCUUGCAUUUCUACAGAGUUUGGUGAUUUAAGGUUGAAAAAAUCUCAGUUUGCCUAACUUACAUACUGCAUUAAUUAUUUGGGAAGGAAGGCUUAAUUUUUUGCUGAUAUUCCUGCAGCCUAGCUUUUUAAUGUUGCUGGAUAACACCCAAUAAAUUUAGACUGCUUUUGGGGUAAGCUAUUUAACUAUUGCUAGUGUAAAUUUUACAUAUAUUAUUAUACUAAUAGUUAUUCAUCGUCUUUUCAAAAUUUUGUAUUUAUAGGUUUUGAAGAUUGAAGUUACAAGUCAAGGUGCAAGUUUAGAAGAUGCACAAGCUCAUUAUUAUUUUUCUAGGAAUGUAAUGCAAAACUUGAUAUCAUAGUCUAGCUCGGGAUGUUGGCAAAGCUUUUUUAUUAAGGUGUUGAGCAAAUAUUGAAACUAAUAUGGGAUGUUAACCAUUUUGUAAUUAAUAACUCUCUAUAUGUAUAUAUAUUUAUAUCUA